GCCUGGGAAAUUGCCCUGAUGUGGGGGAUAACCAUUGGAAACGAUGGCUAAUACCGCAUGAUAGCUUCGGCUCAAAGAGGGGGACCUUCGGGCCUCUCGCGUCAGGAUAUGCCCAGGUGGGAUUAGCUAGUUGGUGAGGUAAGGGCUCACCAAGGCGACGAUCCCUAGCUGGUCUGAGAGGAUGAUCAGCCACACUGGAACUGAGACACGGUCCAGACUCCUACGGGAGGCAGCAGUGGGGAAUAUUGCACAAUGGGCGCAAGCCUGAUGCAGCCAUGCCGCGUGUGUGAAGAAGGCCUUCGGGUUGUAAAGCACUUUCAGUCGUGAGGAAGGUG
rnacentral:rRNA from 1 species